rnacentral:rRNA from 1 species
UACGUAGGGGGCAAGCGUUGUCCGGAAUCAUUGGGCGUAAAGCGCGUGUAGGCGGCCCGAUAAGUCCGCUGUGAAAGUCCAGGGCUCAACCCUGGGAUGCCGGUGGAUACUGUCGGGCUCGAGUCCGGAAGAGGAGUGUGGAAUUCCUGGUGUAGCGGUGAAAUGCGCAGAUAUCAGGAGGAACACCAAUGGCGAAGGCAGCUCGCUGGGACGUGACUGACGCUGAGACGCGAAAGCGUGGGGAGCAAACAGG